rnacentral:rRNA from 1 species
GACAGAGGGUGCAAACGUUGUUCGGAAUUACUGGGCGUAAAGCGUGCGCAGGCGGUUUUGUAAGCCAGAUGUGAAAUCCCCGGGCUUAACCUGGGAAUGGCAUUUGGGACUGCAAGGCUUGAGUGCGGCAGAGGAGACUGGAAUUCCUGGUGUAGCAGUGAAAUGCGUAGAUAUCAGGAGGAACACCGAUGGCGAAGGCAGGUCUCUGGGCUGACACUGACGCUGAGGAGCGAAAGCGUGGGGAGCGAACAGG